rnacentral:rRNA from 1 species
AGUCGACGAACUCUUCGGAGUUAGUGGCGGACGGGUGAGUAACACGUGGGAACGUGCCUUUUGGUUCGGAAUAACUCAGGGAAACUUGUGCUAAUACCGAAUGUGCCCUUCGGGGGAAAGAUUUAUCGCCAUUAGAGCGGCCCGCGUCUGAUUAGCUAGUUGGUGAGGUAAAGGCUCACCAAGGCGACGAUCAGUAGCUGGUCUGAGAGGAUGAUCAGCCACAUUGGGACUGAGACACGGCCCAAACUCCUACGGGAGGCAGCAGUGGGGAAUCUUGCGCAAUGGGCGAAAGCCUGACGCAGCCAUGCCGCGUGAAUGAUGAAGGUCUUAGGAUUGUAAAAUUCUUUCACCGGGGACGAUAAUGACGGUACCCGGAGAAGAAGCCCCGGCUAACUUCGUGCCAGCAGCCGCGGUAAUACGAAGGGGGCUAGCGUUGCUCGGAAUUACUGGGCGUAAAGGGAGCGUAGGCGGACAUUUAAGUCAGGGGUGAAAUCCCGGGGCUCAACCUCGGAAUUGCCUUUGAUACUGGGUGUCUUGAGUAUGAGAGAGGUAUGUGGAACUCCGAGUGUAGAGGUGAAAUUCGUAGAUAUUCGGAAGAACACCAGUGGCGAAGGCGACAUACUGGCUCAUUACUGACGCUGAGGCUCGAAAGCGUGGGGAGCAAACAGGAUUAGAUACCCUGGUAGUCCACGCCGUAAACGAUGAUUGCUAGUUGUCGGGAUGCAUGCAUUUCGGUGACGCAGCUAACGCAUUAAGCAAUCCGCCUGGGGAGUAC